AUUGAACGCUGGCGGCAGGCCUAACACAUGCCAGUCGCGCGGAUGAAGGGAGCUUGCUCCUGGAUUCAGCGGCGGACGGGUGAGUAAUGCCUAGGAAUCUGCCUGGUAGUGGGGGAUAACGUCCGGAAACGGGCGCUAAUACCGCAUACGUCCUGAGGGAGAAAGUGGGGGAUCUUCGGACCUCACGCUAUCAGAUGAGCCUAGGUCGGAUUAGCUAGUUGGUGGGGUAAAGGCCUACCAAGGCGACGAUCCGUAACUGGUCUGAGAGGAUGAUCAGUCACACUGGAACUGAGACACGGUCCAGACUCCUACGGGAGGCAGCAGUGGGGAAUAUUGGACAAUGGGCGAAAGCCUGAUCCAGCCAUGCCGCGUGUGUGAAGAAGGUCUUCGGAUUGUAAAGCACUUUAAGUUGGGAGGAAGGGCAGUAAGUUAAUACCUUGCUGUUUUGACGUUACCAACAGAAUAAGCACCGGCUAACUUCGUG
rnacentral:rRNA from 1 species